rnacentral:rRNA from 1 species
ACGAGUGGCGGACGGGUGAGUAAUGUCUGGGGAUCUGCCCGAUAGAGGGGGAUAACCACUGGAAACGGUGGCUAAUACCGCAUAACGUCGCAAGACCAAAGAGGGGGACCUUCGGGCCUCUCACUAUCGGAUGAACCCAGAUGGGAUUAGCUAGUAGGCGGGGUAACGGCCCACCUAUGCGACAAUCCCUAUCUGGUGUGAGAGGAUGACCAGCCACACUGUAACUGAGACACGGUCCAGACUCCUACGGGAGGCAGCAGUGGGGAAUAUUGCACAAUGGGCGCAAGCCUGAUGCACCCAUGCCGCGUGUAUGAAGAAGGCCUUCGGGUUGUAAAGUACUUUCUGCGGGGAGGAAAGCGAUAUGGUUAAUAACCCCGUCGAUGACGUUACCCGCACAAAAAACACCGGCUAACUCCCUGCCCCCACCCGCGGUAAUACAGAGGGGGCGCGCGUUAAUCUCAAUUACUGGGCGUAAAGCGCACGCACGCGGUCUGUUAAAUCACAUAUGAAAUCCCCCGGCUUAACCUGGGAACUGUGUUUUAAACUGGGGGGCUUGAGUCUCUUAUAGAGGGG